CAGAGGUAGCCCAGCGCCAGGGCCAGGAGGCCCACGCACACCGACCGGUGCCACAUCGCGGCCUACCCGCCGCGCCGCGCCUGAGGAGGGACGUGACCAGCCGGGGCCUCCUUACGCCGCCUCCGUAGCGCCCCGCCCCCGCCGGCCGCUGGCUGUUGUAGAGCCGCCUCGGGGAUGGAGGCGGGCUUUGCGCAAGCAGCGUACCGUGCGGAGGACAGAUAGAGUCUCCACAUCAACAAAAUUGAAGCUGCUCAAGAGGAACAACUGCUGUGUGCUCUCCAUAAACUGCUGGUGUUCAGUCUGCAUGCACAGUUCUGUCAGAGGACUUGAAUGGGACUGCAAGGUGAGAGGAAGCAGCAGAGCUGGGAACAGCACAUGAAUGUCCUGAGUCAACCCAAGGAGCUCCAGACAGACACAGCAAUACAACCACCAGCACAGUGACACAGUCCAUUCUGUGAGAGGUCCUGCAGAUGCCUCUGACAUUCCUGCUGGCUGAGAUGGGCAGCUCUGCUUGGAGACCCCUCCCUCCUAUUCCUGGUCAGGAAGGGGACACAACUGGGGGCCCUGGAAGACCGACUGAGUGGAGAGCGAAGGCAGGGCUGGCUCUGAGAGGACUUCUGGUGAUGCAGUCGAGAGUGAAUGUGGAUGAACAUCACUUACCCCUUGCAGAUGGAGCAAUGUGGUCUCCUUGCCUCUCUGCCUGCCCUUCAACACCAAAUGGGCGCUUGAGCCCUGCUGGUUCCUGUGCCUUCUCUGAGGCCACAAAAUUGCUUUUUGUGCCAUCAGCAGUGGGAAAAUGCUUGUCUCCUUUCAGUGGCCACUUGGCAACUUUUUCCUCUCAAGACUGAGAAAAUCCUUCUCACAUUUCCCAACUCUCUAUGUGGUGCGUAGAGAGAAUCCUACCUAUUGCUGCUUGUGAGUGGGAGAAACAGGAGCUCGUUCCUAAUCUCGGUCAUGGAGAUUGUUUGAAUGAAACUGGCAUAUGUGAAGUUGAAAUUCACGCUGCAGCAUCCAGACGGUGCCUCAAGCUGGCUGCGCAUUCCCAGAAAGGAAGAAACCACACACACCCCCCCAGCCUACCUGCAGAAUGACCUUUCUUCUGAUGCUGACUUGCAGCUCAGGAGCUUUUGUGCUGUGAGAGGCAGGACUUGCCAGUGAGAGAAGAGCUUGUGUCUGCCUGACUGCCUUCAGAGCAAGUCAGCUUUGCCAGCCAAGGCAGAUUCUUCUGGCCUGCUUCCAAGAGGCAUGAGCUUAAACAACUGGUCUCAGAUGGGGUGUCUCCACAGUCUUAGCCAUGAAGAGAGGUGAUUAUUUCUCCCUGAUAAUUCUGGUUCUCAUAAGGAAAUCCUCACACACACAGAGCAUGCACCUUCCCCUGUGCUGUCAACGUGCUCUGCUGGAAAGAUUUAUUCCAGUA